AAAUUGAAGAGUUUGAUCAUGGCUCAGAUUGAACGCUGGCGGCAGGCCUAACACAUGCAAGUCGAACGGUAACAGGAAACAGCUUGCUGUUUCGCUGACGAGUGGCGGACGGGUGAGUAAUGUCUGGGAAACUGCCCGAUGGAGGGGGAUAACUACUGGAAACGGUAGCUAAUACCGCAUAACGUCGCAAGACCAAAGAGGGGGACCUUCGGGCCUCUUGCCAUCGGAUGUGCCCAGAUGGGAUUAGCUAGUAGGUGGGGUAACGGCUCACCUAGGCGACGAUCCCUAGCUGGUCUGAGAGGAUGACCAGCCACACUGGAACUGAGACACGGUCCAGACUCCUACGGGAGGCAGCAGUGGGGAAUAUUGCACAAUGGGCGCAAGCCUGAUGCAGCCAUGCCGCGUGUAUGAAGAAGGCCUUCGGGUUGUAAAGUACUUUCAGCGGGGAGGAAGGGAGUAAAGUUAAUACCUUUGCUCAUUGACGUUACCCGCAGAAGAAGCACCGGCUAACUCCGUGCCAGCAGCCGCGGUAAUACGGAGGGUGCAAGCGUUAAUCGGAAUUACUGGGCGUAAAGCGCACGCAGGCGGUCUGUUAAGUCAGAUGUGAAAUCCCCGGGCUCAACCUGGGAACUGCAUCUGAUACUGGCAGGCUUGAGUCUCGUAGAGGGGGGUAGAAUUCCAGGUGUAGCGGUGAAAUGCGUAGAGAUCUGGAGGAAUACCGGUGGCGAAGGCGGCCCCCUGGACGAAGACUGACGCUCAGGUGCGAAAGCGUGGGGAGCAAACAGGAUUAGAUACCCUGGUAGUCCACGCCGUAAACGAUGUCGACUUGGAGGUUGUGCCCUUGAGGCGUGGCUUCCGGAGCUAACGCGUUAAGUCGACCGCCUGGGGAGUACGGCCGCAAGGUUAAAACUCAAAUGAAUUGACGGGGGCCCGCACAAGCGGUGGAGCAUGUGGUUUAAUUCGAUGCAACGCGAAGAACCUUACCUGGUCUUGACAUCCACAGAACUUUCCAGAGAUGGAUUGGUGCCUUCGGGAACUGUGAGACAGGUGCUGCAUGGCUGUCGUCAGCUCGUGUUGUGAAAUGUUGGGUUAAGUCCCGCAACGAGCGCAACCCUUAUCCUUUGUUGCCAGCGGUCCGGCCGGGAACUCAAAGGAGACUGCCAGUGAUAAACUGGAGGAAGGUGGGGAUGACGUCAAGUCAUCAUGGCCCUUACGACCAGGGCUACACACGUGCUACAAUGGCGCAUACAAAGAGAAGCGACCUCGCGAGAGCAAGCGGACCUCAUAAAGUGCGUCGUAGUCCGGAUUGGAGUCUGCAACUCGACUCCAUGAAGUCGGAAUCGCUAGUAAUCGUGGAUCAGAAUGCCACGGUGAAUACGUUCCCGGGCCUUGUACACACCGCCCGUCACACCAUGGGAGUGGGUUGCAAAAGAAGUAGGUAGCUUAACCUUCGGGAGGGCGCUUACCACUUUGUGAUUCAUGACUGGGGUGAAGUCGUAACAAGGUAACCGUAGGGGAACCUGCGGUUGGAUCACCUCCUUACCUUAAAGAAGC
rnacentral:rRNA from 1 species